AUUGAACGCUGGCGGCAGGCCUAACACAUGCAAGUCGAGCGGAUGAAGGGAGCUUGCUCCUGGAUUCAGCGGCGGACGGGUGAGUAGUGCCUAGGAAUCUGCCUGGUAGUGGGGGAUAACGUCCGGAAACGGGCGCUAAUACCGCAUACGUCCUGAGGGAGAAAGUGGGGGAUCUUCGGACCUCACGCUAUCAGAUGAGCCUAGGUCGGAUUAGCUAGUUGGUGGGGUAAAGGCCUACCAAGGCGACGAUCCGUAACUGGUCUGAGAGGAUGAUCAGUCACACUGGAACUGAGACACGGUCCAGACUCCUACGGGAGGCAGCAGUGGGGAAUAUUGGACAAUGGGCGAAAGCCUGAUCCAGCCAUGCCGCGUGUGUGAAGAAGGUCUUCGGAUUGUAAAGCACUUUAAGUUGGGAGGAAGGGCAGUAAGUUAAUACCUUGCUGCUUUGACGUUACCAACAGAAUAAGCACCGGCUAACUUCGUG
rnacentral:rRNA from 1 species